GACAGAGGGGGCAAGCGUUGCUCGGAAUUACUGGGCGUAAAGGGCGCGUAGGCGGAAUGGCAAGUCGGUCGUGAAAUCCUUCGGCUCAACCGAAGAACGUCGAUCGAAACUGCCGUUCUUGAGGAUUGCAGAGGAGACUGGAAUUCCCGGUGUAGCGGUGAAAUGUGUAGAGAUCGGGAGGAACACCAGUGGCGAAGGCGGGUCUCUGGACAGUUCCUGACGCUGAGGCACGAAGGCCAGGGGAGCAAACGGG
rnacentral:rRNA from 1 species